CUUAAGAUGAGUGUUAAAAGCAU
rnacentral:siRNA from 1 species